UUAAGCGACUAAGCGUACACGGUGGAUGCCCUGGCAGUCAGAGGCGAUGAAGGACGUGCUAAUCUGCGAUAAGCGUCGGUAAGGUGAUAUGAACCGUUAUAACCGGCGAUUUCCGAAUGGGGAAACCCAGUGUGAUUCGUCACACUAUCAUUAACUGAAUCCAUAGGUUAAUGAGGCGAACCGGGGGAACUGAAACAUCUAAGUACCCCGAGGAAAAGAAAUCAACCGAGAUUCCCCCAGUAGCGGCGAGCGAACGGGGAGCAGCCCAGAGCCUGAAUCAGUGUGUGUGUUAGUGGAAGCGUCUGGAAAGGCGCGCGAUACAGGGUGACAGCCCCGUACACAAAAAUGCACAUACUGUGAGCUCGAUGAGUAGGGCGGGACACGUGGUAUCCUGUCUGAAUAUGGGGGGACCAUCCUCCAAGGCUAAAUACUCCUGACUGACCGAUAGUGAACCAGUACCGUGAGGGAAAGGCGAAAAGAACCCCGGCGAGGGGAGUGAAAAAGAACCUGAAACCGUGUACGUACAAGCAGUGGGAGCCUCUUUAUGGGGUGACUGCGUACCUUUUGUAUAAUGGGUCAGCGACUUAUAUUCUGUAGCAAGGUUAACCGAAUAGGGGAGCCGAAGGGAAACCGAGUCUUAACUGGGCGUUAAGUUGCAGGGUAUAGACCCGAAACCCGGUGAUCUAGCCAUGGGCAGGUUGAAGGUUGGGUAACACUAACUGGAGGACCGAACCGACUAAUGUUGAAAAAUUAGCGGAUGACUUGUGGCUGGGGGUGAAAGGCCAAUCAAACCGGGAGAUAGCUGGUUCUCCCCGAAAGCUAUUUAGGUAGCGCCUCGUGAAUUCAUCUCCGGGGGUAGAGCACUGUUUCGGCAAGGGGGUCAUCCCGACUUACCAACCCGAUGCAAACUGCGAAUACCGGAGAAUGUUAUCACGGGAGACACACGGCGGGUGCUAACGUCCGUCGUGAAGAGGGAAACAACCCAGACCGCCAGCUAAGGUCCCAAAGUCAUGGUUAAGUGGGAAACGAUGUGGGAAGGCCCAGACAGCCAGGAUGUUGGCUUAGAAGCAGCCAUCAUUUAAAGAAAGCGUAAUAGCUCACUGGUCGAGUCGGCCUGCGCGGAAGAUGUAACGGGGCUAAACCAUGCACCGAAGCUGCGGCAGCGACACUAUGUGUUGUUGGGUAGGGGAGCGUUCUGUAAGCCUGUGAAGGUGUGCUGUGAGGUAUGCUGGAGGUAUCAGAAGUGCGAAUGCUGACAUAAGUAACGAUAAAGCGGGUGAAAAGCCCGCUCGCCGGAAGACCAAGGGUUCCUGUCCAACGUUAAUCGGGGCAGGGUGAGUCGACCCCUAAGGCGAGGCCGAAAGGCGUAGUCGAUGGGAAACAGGUUAAUAUUCCUGUACUUGGUGUUACUGCGAAGGGGGGACGGAGAAGGCUAUGUUGGCCGGGCGACGGUUGUCCCGGUUUAAGCGUGUAGGCUGGUUUUCCAGGCAAAUCCGGAAAAUCAAGGCUGAGGCGUGAUGACGAGGCACUACGGUGCUGAAGCAACAAAUGCCCUGCUUCCAGGAAAAGCCUCUAAGCAUCAGGUAACAUCAAAUCGUACCCCAAACCGACACAGGUGGUCAGGUAGAGAAUACCAAGGCGCUUGAGAGAACUCGGGUGAAGGAACUAGGCAAAAUGGUGCCGUAACUUCGGGAGAAGGCACGCUGAUAUGUAGGUGAAGUCCCUUGCGGAUGGAGCUGAAAUCAGUCGAAGAUACCAGCUGGCUGCAACUGUUUAUUAAAAACACAGCACUGUGCAAACACGAAAGUGGACGUAUACGGUGUGACGCCUGCCCGGUGCCGGAAGGUUAAUUGAUGGGGUUAGCGGUAACGCGAAGCUCUUGAUCGAAGCCCCGGUAAACGGCGGCCGUAACUAUAACGGUCCUAAGGUAGCGAAAUUCCUUGUCGGGUAAGUUCCGACCUGCACGAAUGGCGUAAUGAUGGCCAGGCUGUCUCCACCCGAGACUCAGUGAAAUUGAACUCGCUGUGAAGAUGCAGUGUACCCGCGGCAAGACGGAAAGACCCCGUGAACCUUUACUAUAGCUUGACACUGAACAUUGAGCCUUGAUGUGUAGGAUAGGUGGGAGGCUUUGAAGUGUGGACGCCAGUCUGCAUGGAGCCGACCUUGAAAUACCACCCUUUAAUGUUUGAUGUUCUAACGUUGGCCCCUGAUCGGGGUUGCGGACAGUGUCUGGUGGGUAGUUUGACUGGGGCGGUCUCCUCCUAAAGAGUAACGGAGGAGCACGAAGGUUGGCUAAUCCUGGUCGGACAUCAGGAGGUUAGUGCAAUGGCAUAAGCCAGCUUGACUGCGAGCGUGACGGCGCGAGCAGGUGCGAAAGCAGGUCAUAGUGAUCCGGUGGUUCUGAAUGGAAGGGCCAUCGCUCAACGGAUAAAAGGUACUCCGGGGAUAACAGGCUGAUACCGCCCAAGAGUUCAUAUCGACGGCGGGGUUUGGCACCUCGAUGUCGGCUCAUCACAUCCUGGGGCUGAAGUAGGUCCCAAGGGUAUGGCUGUUCGCCAUUUAAAGUGGUACGCGAGCUGGGUUUAGAACGUCGUGAGACAGUUCGGUCCCUAUCUGCCGUGGGCGCUGGAGAACUGAGGGGGGCUGCUCCUAGUACGAGAGGACCGGAGUGGACGCAUCACUGGUGUUCGGGUUGUCAUGCCAAUGGCACUGCCCGGUAGCUAAAUGCGGAAGAGAUAAGUGCUGAAAGCAUCUAAGCACGAAACUUGCCCCGAGAUGAGUUCUCCCUGACUCCUUGAGAGUCCUGAAGGAACGUUGAAGACGACGACGUUGAUAGGCCGGGUGUGUAAGCGCAGCGAUGCGUUGAGCUAACCGGUACUAAUGAACCGUGAGGCUUAACCUU
rnacentral:rRNA from 1 species